CCAACUUCAAAUCCGAACUUCUGAUUCUGAUCACCAAAGUCAUUGAUCAUGACAUCAACAAUAGGUACUUGAUCAAUUUUUGGUGUAUUGAUUUCAAUGACAGUCUUUUCAUAGCCUUUUCUGGACGCACAACCAUCAUACAGUGUUUUGAUAAAAGGAUUAUUGUCAUAGGACAUCUCCUCAUCAUUUGAUCCCAGGAAGCGAAGUGCUUUGUCAUAACUUCCUGAUGACACAUCAUACCAGGCUGCUGACUGAUGACA
rnacentral:lncRNA from 1 species